rnacentral:antisense_RNA from 1 species
AUCAAUGGUGAUUCAGGCAGGGAGAGGUUAUGCCUCGCUGAGUUGAUGAGCUCAGACUGCGAAUCCUUGUCUGUAUCACCACCACU